AGAGUUUGAUCAUGGCUCAGAACGAACGCUGGCGGCAUGCCUAACACAUGCAAGUCGAACGAAGCCUUCGGGCUUAGUGGCGCACGGGUGCGUAACACGUGGGAAUCUGCCCUUCGGUUCGAAUAACAGUUAGAAAUGACUGCUAAUACCGGAUGAUGACGUAAGUCCAAAGAUUUAUCGCCGAAGGAUGAGCCCGCGUAGGAUUAGGUAGUUGGUAGGGUAAUGGCCUACCAAGCCGACGAUCCUUAGCUGGUCUGAGAGGAUGAUCAGCCACACUGGGACUGAGACACGGCCCAGACUCCUACGGGAGGCAGCAGUGGGGAAUAUUGGACAAUGGGCGAAAGCCUGAUCCAGCAAUGCCGCGUGAGUGAUGAAGGCCUUAGGGUUAUAAAGCUCUUUUACCAGGGAUGAUAAUGACAGUACCUGGAGAAUAAGCUCCGGCUAACUCCGUG
rnacentral:rRNA from 1 species